rnacentral:rRNA from 1 species
GUGAGGAAUAUUGGUCAAUGGGCGCAAGCCUGAACCAGCCAUGCCGCGUGCAGGAAGAAGUUCCUAUGGGAUGUAAACUGCUUUUGUAUAGGGAUAAAGAUGUUUCUGCGGAAAUAUUUGAAGGUACUAUACGAAUAAGGAUCGGCUAACUCCGUGCCAGCAGCCGCGGUAAUACGGAGGAUUCGAGCGUUAUCCGGAUUUAUUGGGUUUAAAGGGUGCGUAGGCUGGAAGGUCAGUCAGCGGUGAAAAGCUGUCGCUUAACGAUAGUCUUGCCGCAGAUACUUCCUUUCUUGGAUGAGGAGGAGGCCACUGGAACGGAUGGUGUAGCGGUGAAAUGCAUAGAUAUCAUCCAGAACACCGAUUGCGAAGGCAGGUGGCUGUACCUUAAUCGACGCUGAUGCACGAAAGCAUGGGGAGCAAACAGGAUUAGAAACCCGGGUAGUCC